AACGUAGGAGACAAACGUUAUCCGGAGUUACUGGGCGUAAAGGGCGUGUAGGUGGUAUCGUAAGUCUGGCGUGAAAUUUCUCGGCUUAACCGAGGCAGGUCGUCGGAUACUGCGAGGCUAGAGGACGGUAGAGGCGUGUGGAAUUCCGGGUGUAGUGGUGAAAUGCGUAGAGAUCCGGAGGAACACCAGUGGCGAAGGCGACUUCCUGGCCUGUUCUUGACGCUGAGGCGCGAAAGCUAGGGGAGCAAACGGG
rnacentral:rRNA from 1 species